rfam:Desulfosporosinus lacus DSM 15449 genome assembly, contig: EJ50DRAFT_scaffold00002.2
CAGCUAAGCAAACUUCCGUUUAAGCGACCGACCCGAAACGCGGGGCAGUGUACAGGGAUGUACACUGCCGCCAGUGAGCCAGGGACGGCUCAUCUGGCGGGAACCCCGCUCCCCAAAGCCAGUCGCUUAAACGGUUAGUUUGCUCUGCGU